UACGUAGGGUGCAAGCGUUGUCCGGAAUUAUUGGGCGUAAAGAGCUCGUAGGCGGUUCGUCGAGUCGGCUGUGAAAUCCCGAGGCUCAACCUCGGGUCUGCAGUCGAUACGGGCGGACUGGAGUUCGGUAGGGGAGACUGGAAUUCCUGGUGUAGCGGUGAAAUGCGCAGAUAUCAGGAGGAACACCGGUGGCGAAGGCGGGUCUCUGGGCCGAUACUGACGCUGAGGAGCGAAAGCGUGGGGAGCGAACAGG
rnacentral:rRNA from 1 species